rnacentral:tRNA from 1 species
GGAGAGAUGGCCGAGUGGUCGAAGGCGCUCCCCUGCUAAGGGAGUAUGGGAGAAAUCCCAUCGAGGGUUCGAAUCCUCUCUCUCCGCCA